UUAAAUGGAUGAAAUAUGAAGUUUUAUUAAAAUAAAAAGGGAUGAAAAGAACAAAGUUUUGUCCAUCUUUGUUCAUCAUAGCUGAAAGUUAGAGAAGAGAAAGGAGAGGAGAAAGCUCUUGAGUAUUCGGUCAUUAGGAGGAGGAAAAUUGAAGGCGGUUCGUGUGUGGAUCUCGUCAGCAUAUCGUCGCAAACAGGUGUGUAACUAACACCCUCUUUCUUAGUCUGGAUCGGCAAAAGUCGAAAAGUCGAAAUGCCGAAAAUCGGUAUUUUGUAGAUUUGCGAAAAGCGAAUGCUCAUGAGGUAAAUCGAUUAAUGUUUUUGGUAAGCUGUAAAAUUUGGACUGCAAAGUGCAUGAUUUACGUGCCUCGAUAUUUUUGGGCUUAAUGGGCCAAAAUUGGAAUGAUGGGCCAAUCGGCCCAAUUCGUAAGAACCCUCGACGUGAUUCGUUAGUACGUGAAAAGUAGGAAUAUGCAUGAAAAACCCUAAAAUAGAUAAAUUACUAAAAUACCUUUAAAAGUGGAAAAUUUACGCUUUUGCCCCUAGUAGAUAAAUUACCAAAUACCCCAGGGUUAAAUUGACCUAAAUGCAUGUUUGAUGUUGUUAUUUAUCGCAUGCCAUGUUGUUAUUAUCGAUGCAUGGACUGAGAUAUUGACGGAGGAAGUACUGAAAGUGGCGUGUCCACGUCUUGGAGGCUUUGCCUCAAUUUAUGAUAAUCGAGCAGCAAGGUGCAGAAUCUGUGGAGUGUUAAAUUUGGGUGGGUUGAGCUAUUCCCCACAUGGAGUGUAUGGCUGGUACGGUGGAGUGUAGUGGUUGGUGGGUUGAGUAGUCUCCCAAAUGGGCUUGCAUAUGUUUACCGAUGUUGCAUGUAUUUUGAAAUGGGCCUAUGGGCCAUACUGUUAUCUGAAUAAGGGCUAAGGCCCGUUUAUUAUAAUCUGAAAAGGGCUCGCCCAGCAUCACUAUUACCCAAAUGGACUUGCAUAUGUUUACCGAUGUUGCAUGUAUUUUGAAAUGGGCCUAUGGGCCAUAUCAUUAUCUGAAUAAGGGCUAAGGCCCAAUUUAUUGUAAUCUGAAAGGGCUCGCCCAAGACCACUAUUACUGAAUGGGCUUAAGCCCAAUAGGCUUGAGUGACUUGGGCUUUGAAUGGGUUUUCCUUACACACUGAGUUUCCCCAAACUCACCCCUUUUAUUUUCAUCCACGCAGAAAUCCCCAACCAUAGUGGGCUUGGAGUCGUGAGGGAAUUGGAUGGCCACCCAUUCGAAAGUUUGAUUUUCUUCGUGAACUGGACAUCCUUUUAAUUACGUUUGAGGUUUUAGGCUUUUAAAUGUAAUAAGGCCGCUUAUUUAUUUUUGAUGGUUUUAAUAUGUAUUACUAAGAUAGGUAAUACUUAUUUUAACUGUUGAAAUUGGAUAGCUUUAGGCGUUUUCAAAAACAACAGUUGAUUUCAAAAUAACACGACAAUAAGCAAAGCUUCCGCAAUGAAAGUAUUUUCCAAAAUUAAUCACUUUUCCUAAAAUGACUUAAUCGAAUCGGUUUCCUAGAAAUAUCCAUGACGUUAAGGUGUGGCAAUGGCGGUAUGCAUGUCUAGGAUUGGAUCCGAAGGAGCUUGGUACUUAAGCAAUCCGAUGGACUCACCACCUCUUUUCGGUUUCCUACCGGUGCAUGACUUCCAUUCACUUUAACCCUUAAUGAAUUAAUCUUUUGAACAUCAAGUACGAUUUUCUGGACUUAGAAUGGAAUUUUUUUUUUAUGUUUUUGAUGUGGCAUGCCGGAUCCGGCCAUAACUUCUGGGCCGGGUUUGGGGUGUUACAACUAGCAUGCAUCCCUAAACCGAUGGGCAAACCAAACGAGUGAAUGUAUUGUUAGAGAUGUAUCUUCGGCACUAUGUAAGUGCGACACAAAAGGAUUGGCCGAAGUUGUUGGAUGUGGCCUAGUUUUCGUACAACUUACAAUGAAGUAGGGCGACGAACCAGAGUCCGUUCGAGAUAGUGAUGGGGCAACAGCCACUUACACCCAAUGCUGUUGCAACUCGUUAUGCGGGACCAAAUCCAGCAGCUUAUCGAUUUGCGAGGGAUUGGCAAGAGCAAAACGAUCUAGCUAGAGCUUGUCUAUAUAAGGCAAGUAAGUGCAACAAGAAGUGGGCAGAUCGAAAUUGAAGGGACGUGCAAUUUCAGGUUGGUGACCUAGUUCUUGCUAAACUACACCUAAUUUUGCGACAUGAUGGGUUACACUAAGGACUCGUGAGACGGUCUGAGGGGCCAUUUCGAGUUGUGAAGAAAGUAGGUAAGGUGGCCUACAAGCUUGAGUUGCUGAAAAGCUCAAAGUUCAUUCAAGAUUCCAUGUAAGUAUGCUUAAGCCAUUCCAUGAAGAUGGAGAAGACCCAAGUUGAAGCAAGUCCGAACGAGCACUAAUGGGGUAAAAGUUGCCUAUGAUCGAGAGGUCGAGAACAUCGAGGCGGAUCGUGUGGUCGACGGAAGUACUAUCGACCAUGCAUGAAUACUUAGUCCGAUGGAAGGAUUUACGGAUAGUGAGACGAGUUGAGAACCUAUUGAAGCCUUGUGGCAAUUUCAAGACAAGAUAGAUCGAUACCAUGCAGAGGACGCGACAAGGGUGUCGCUAGAUUCGGUGGGGGAGAAUGUCAUGGGUUGCACAUGGGAGCCCGCAACUAUGACACAUCUAUGCGAUCCAUCAAGAAGGAAAGAGGUUAUUUGGCCCAAUCAGACUGGCCCGUUGCUUAAAGAGAUUGAAGGUCUAUCUACAAGCUCGACAAAUAUGGAAACAUGAUCUUCGAAGAUAUGCAAUCUUAGAUAUGAUAUGUAAUCUUAGAAGAUAUGAUUUUGUAAUCUUAGAGAUUUGAUUUGUAGAUACCCUUUGAUCAUAGCCGUUGAUGUACUUGAUUUGUACCGUUGGAUUUAGAGAGGCUCAACUACAAAUAGAGGCCUCUCCCCUCAUUGUAAAGCACUUGAGUUUUUUUUGAGCAAUAAGAAUUCUUGAGAGCAUUCACUCAAA